rnacentral:tRNA from 1 species
CAAGGUGUAGCUUAACUAAAAGCGCCCGGCUUACACCCGGAAGAUAUCAAACAAAUUGACCACCUUGA